GAAAAAUGUCAACAAAGGAGAGAGAGCGAGAGAUCUGACAAAACCAGGGCAGAGUCAGUGGCCAUAAAACUUCCACAGAAAGCAAUUUCAAGUGUUGCGUUGCCAGUAUGCUUGUUGAAACAUGACCUCUUUGGAAAGCUGAUCUCCAAUGAUUCCCUCUACUAUUCCCACACAGCAGAGAGCCGGUUAGAGGUGUGAUUCCGCUCAUGUUUAUGAGACCUGGAUGUUGGCAGGACCUGCAACCCUUACAGUGCUGACCACAGUGCUUUUCUCUGACCUGUCAGUCCGCCCUCAGCCUUAUCCUGGCACUGUUGAAGGCCAUCAGCGGGCCCCAGCACGACCUUUCACCAAACAGGGAAACACUCAUGCUUACCCUUCACUCUCUCUUUCGCUCUUGCUCUCCCACACCCCUUUAACCAACCGGCCAGGCCGACGUUACACCCUUAACAGGGAGGGAAUACAGUCCAAGAAAUUUUAAAAGUUGGCUUCUUGUACCUUGUAAUUAGGUCUAUUUGUCAACGAUGUGAAAGUAAAGUAUUACAUAGUAAAAAUAUACUAAUUAAAAUUCAAUAAAAGCUUAUGA